rnacentral:lncRNA from 1 species
GACAAGACGGCUGGAGCUAGCGGCAGCGACGGCAAAGCCCUGGCUCCCAGGACUGAGCACUUUGAAAAUGUGAUUCCACUGCCUUCUGACCACCAUUGUUUCAAUGACAAAUCAACUGUUAAUUACAUUGAUGCUCCUUUGCAUAUGGUGAGUUGUUUUCUUUUUGUUGAUUUCAAAACUUCUUUUUGUUUUUCAGUAUUUUAGCUAUGAUACAUCUAUGGGUCAUUUUGUAUUUGUCUUACUUGGAGUUGGUUAACCUUCUUGGAUCCAUAGACUUACAUAUUUUUCUUCAAAUUCAGGAAGUUUUUAGCCAUUAUUACUUUAAAUAUUUUUCUGUCCUUUUAUUCUCUACAUUUUCAGGUACUCCCAUUACAUGUGUGUUAUUUAGUACAAUUGAUGUUGUCCCAUAGGGCUCUGAGGCUCUAUUCUUUUUUCUUCAAUCCUUGUUCUUUCUAUUCUUCAGAUUAUAUGACUUCCAUUGCUUAUCAUCAAGUCCUCUGAUUCUUUCUUCUGCCAUCUCAAAUAUAUUGGUGAGCCCCUAUAGUGAAUUUUAUUUUAUUUUAUUUUAUUUACUAUAAUCUUCAAAUGCAGAAUUUCUAUUUCUUUCUUUUUUAAGAAAUAAUUUCCAUGUACUUAAUGAAAAUCUCUAAGUUUUGAUCCUUUGUUGUCACACUUUAGUUUUUUAUACAUAGCUUCCUUUAGUUCUUUAAACAUAUUUAUAGUAGCUGCUUUAAAAUCUUUGCUAAUCUGGAGCAUCUGAGUACAUUUAGUUUCUAUUGCCUACUUUUUUCUAAGUAUGGAUCUCACUUUCCUGUUUUUUUACGUCUCAUAUUUUUUUGUUGAAAAUUGGACAUUUUAGAUAAUAUAUUGUACAUUCUAAAUUCUUGUAUUUUUCCCCAAAGGUUGUUGUGCUGGGUUUCUGUUUGUUCAUUAGUUUAGUCACUUGCCAGGCUUAUUCUAUGAAAUCUCCCUUGUCAAUUGUUACCACUGGUGUCUCUGUCUACUUAUUUUAAUUUUGCAUUUGUUCUUAACCUUGACUUUCUAGGAGCUUUCCUCUAUCUGCAGAGUUUAGUAGUUAGCCAUUUAUUCAUGAAAAUUGUGUUUAAACAGAUUAAACCAGUAAAGCUCUGUCAUCUGCAGAUGGAUCUGUAUGUAGGCAACAGUUAAGUUCACAUCAUUUCAGUACUUUGGAAACCAAAGAAAGGCAUAUGAGAGUAUGAAGAGAUACAGGCCUAGUUAGCCAAUCAUCUGCAAUAAAAAAGUACACAUUUUAUCACAGAAGAGAAAUGCACUUUGUAAUAAUCUUCAAGCUGGGGUAGGCUACCUCUUUAGAAUGUGAAAACUUUCUAGGAAUACAAGGAUAAGGAUCAUUUAAAAGGAAUCAAUUUCCAGAUUCUUUACUUCCAACUCUUUCCAAAAAUUAAUUUGAGUGUAAACUUGACUGAGUUCACAAUAGCCCUUCCAUCACUUUACAAAAGUAUGUAUAUAAAUGUUUCACACUCUGAGCUCUGAGAAAAGGGGAAGACUUAAUUAAUGAUUAAUUAAGUUACCACAAUCCACAGGGAAUUUCUCUGUCUUCUCAAUUUAUGUUAUGAGUAAAAAGUAGAUUAGGAAUGUAGUAUUUUGUCCCAUGUUGGGAUGUUUUGAAUGCAGAUAUAUGGUAGAAUAGGGUGGUGGAAUUAGUGAUGAUUUCCAUUUAAGGGCUGUUCCUUUUCCUUGCUCCUAGCUGUUGUCAAUGAAUAUGUACACAUAAGGAAGCAAAGAAAGGAUUAAUAAGAAACACUGAAUGCUAAAAGGAGUACUUUUAUACAUGUAAGCAUAAAAAAUUCUUUCCAGCUGUUCUCAUUAAUUUUCCCAGGACAUGUCAUAAGCUGAAAAGAAAAACUUCCUUGAAAUGCCAAAACAGUUAAGUUUACUGGUGCUAAAUUUUUAAAAUGUUAUUGAAAAAAAUUUCUGGUGCUACCAAAAUUUUCAGAACACAUUAGAUAAAACUUACCAUUAAGACGUUAAGUAUCUAAUGUGAAAGAAAGUAGGUGGCAUAUAGAAGUUCCCAGGCUAGGGGUCAAAUUGGAACUGUAGCUGACCAACACAGCCACAGCUGGGGCACAUCUGCAACCUACACCACAGCUUACAGCAACACUGGACCCUUAACCUGGACCCUUGAUACUGAGCAGGGCCAGGUAUCAAACUCACAUCCUCAUGGAUACUAAUCAGACUUAUUAACUUUGAGAUACAACAGGAACUUCCUAAAAUAUGUGUCUUUUGUAUAUACACAACUAUAUAUAAAAUAGAGAGAGAUAACAAGGACCUACUGUAUAGCACAGGGUAUCCUAUUCAAUACUGUGUAAUAAUCUAUAUGAGAAAAGAAUCUGAAAAGGAAUGGAUAUAUGUAUAUUUAUAACUGAUUCACUUUGUUGUACACCUGAAACUAACACAACUUUGUAAGUCAACUAUACUUCAAUAACAUUUAUUUUUUAAAAAAGGAGCUUCACCACACAAUGUGUUUAAACAUUAGCAACAACAUAAAAAAAUAGACUAUUUAGCAACCACAUAGGAGUUUGACAAAUAUAGUUUUAGUUUUAAAAUAUGAUUUUCGUCUGACCUAUUUAAAAGUUAAAGUUUUGAGGUAUAAUAUUGAUGAGGUAAGAAUGUAAUCAAUCACCUGAAAAGAAGAAUUACUAAAAGACUAAAUUAGUUACCUCCGCCAAAGAAUAGUCUGUUUUGUCUAAAGAAAAAAUUUUUUUAAAUAUAUGUAUAUCUUUCAUUUAAUCAAUUUUAUGCUAAAAAUGAUUAUACUGAUAACCCAAUCUAAAAGACAGUUUUUUAAUUUUUAGAGCCUUAUGUUCAACA